ACAAGGUCUCAUUGUGUCACCCAGGCUAGAGUGCAAUGGCGCCAUCUUGGCUCACUGAAACGUCAGCCUCCCAGGUUCUAGCGAUUCUUUCUCUGCCUCCGGAGGAGCUGGAGUUACAGGCAUGUGACAUCAAACUCAGUUCAGAAUACAAAACUCAAAGAAAAAGACAACUCACAAAAUAGUCAAAGCAUUUUGCAGAUACAAACGAAUUAACCAUCUGGAACCACCUAAACAAGACUCAUUUCAAUACUGACAAUCUGCUAUAAACAUGAAUAAACAAUCCAGUUGUGACUCAGAUUGAGGGAAGAUAAGGGUUUUAGAUGAAUUAUUGAGAUGGUUAUAGAAAAAAAAUUAUUAGCAGAUGCAAUAACCACAGAAACAAACAAGGAACCUUAUACUCCAAGGAUACUACCCAUGAAUCCUACCCUAUUCUCACUAGUGGUUAUCAAUUUAAUAUGAUGCAUUUCACAGACACAGGCAUAUUGCAGAUCUCAGAGUUAUGCCAUUAAUCAAAUCAUGCAUAUGCUUCAACAGCCAAAUGGUAUCUCAUCUAAUCUAGAAAUAAGAUGUGCUGAAUCUUUUUUUUAUUACAUGCUGUUUGGAUACAUAUAAUGCAGGCAAUAGAUUAAUGGAUAUUAUAAACUUAAAUAUUCUGCAGAAUAAUUUAUGUAUUUACUUGGAGUUGUAUUAUUUUAAAUUCAAAUGUUUUACAAAUUUAUUCUUUACCCAUGAGAUUUGGGGGCUUCUAAUCAUAGAAAAUUGCAAAUAAAAUAAAUUAGGGAAUUCCAAGAGAUAGAAAGUAAAAGUAUAUGGCCGGGCACGGUGGCUCACGCAUGUAAUACCAACACUUUGGGAGGCCGAGGUGGGCGGAUCACUUGAGGUCAGGAGUUCAAGACAAGCCUGGUCAACAUGGCGAAAGCCAGUAUCUACUGAAGAUACAAAAAUUAACUGGGCAUGGUGCUGAGUGCCUGUAAUCCCAGCUACUCUGGAAGCUGAGGAAGCAGAAUCACUUGAACCCGGUAGGUGGAAGUUGCAGUGAGCUGAGAUAGCACCACUGCACUCCAGCCUGGGAGACAGAAAGAGAUUUUGUCUCAAAAAAAAAAAAGAAGGAAAGAAAAGGAAAAAAAAAGUAGUAGAAGUAUAGCACAGAAGAAAAACAAAAGCACAAACUAAAAUCACUUCUUUUCAGCUUUUCUGACAAUGAAAACAAAAAUUUAAAAUAACUAUAACAUAAUAAUUUUUUUUUCCUUCAGAUUCUGACAACCAAUUCCUGCUGGUUUCCUUUGUGAGCUAAAAGAUAUUUAAAACACGUUAGUGGAUUUUUCCAAUGCCAUGACUAAAUUUCAGUGAUCAGUUUAAGGGUUUUUGCUGUUGUUGUUUGUUUUUCUAUCUGGGAUAAUAAAGCUUUUAGUCAUUUGGAAAUAACUGGCAAUCUGAAAGUUUUUUUAAUUUCCUGUUUUAUUUAAUUUCCCAAAGUUUAUUCAAAAAUCAUUUAUGUUGCUCACUAUGGAAUGCUAAAAAAUUCAGAACAAAGAUAAGUGGAAAGUUUCACAAGUUUAGUUUUAAAUUUAGUUUGUAAUAAAUUGAAGUUUUUGAAGAAUCAUUCUUGUUCUUCAGAUUUAGUGGUCAAUUUCACAUAUGAGAGUUCUUAAAAUAAUUGUACCCUUUAAAUAAUUCUAACCUUUAAAUUUCAGAUUGUAAUUUAAUUUAAUGUUUUUUUUUUUUUUUGAGAUAGGGUCGCUCUCUGGCUUCCAGGCCAGAGUGUAGUUGUACAAUCAUGGUUCACAGUACACUUGACCUCGCAGGCUCAAUAUAUCCUCUUCUCUCAGCCUCCCUAGUAGCAGGGAACACAGGCACAUGCCACCGAGCCUGGCUAAUUUUUUUUUAUUUUUGUAGAGACAAGGUCUCAAUAUGUUGCCCAGGCUGGUCUUGAACUCCUGGGUUUAUGUGAUCUUCCCACUUUGGCCUCCCAAAUUUCUGGGAUUACAGACGUAAGCCACCAUGACUGGCCCCUUUUCAAUUAUGUAUAUAUAUGCAUCUUAUACAUUGAUUUCAUGUCACAUAUAUCAGAAAAAAAAUGUCAGCUAUAUCAGGGUUUUUGUCAUACUUAAAAAAUAGUAUCAAAUUUGGGUAAAAUAGAUCUGGAUCAGCUAUAACUCAUAAUGGUCUCUGAGUGAUGAACUGGUAGUACCAUUACUAAUUAAGAAGAGUUUUCUUCAGAUCUGCCAUAUGAAACUCCUUAGACAAGGAGAAUGAUAAGAUGCAUGUAGAUAAUUGCUUUAUUUAGAUCAUGCUUGUAAUCUAAGCACUUUGGGAGGCCAAGGCAGGCAGAUCAUCUGAGGUCAGGAGUUCAAGACCAGCCUGACUAACGUGGAGAAACCCCGUCUCUACUAAAAAUACAAAAAUACAAAAUUAGGCGGGCAUGGUGGCGUAUGCCUGUAAUCCCAGCUACUCAGGAGGCUGAGGCAGGAGAAUCACUUGAACCUGGGAGGCAGAGGUUGUGGUGAGCCGAGAUCAUGCCAUUGCACUCCAACUUGG
rnacentral:lncRNA from 10 species